rnacentral:rRNA from 1 species
AGUGAACGCUGGCGGUAGGCCUAACACAUGCAAGUCGAACGGCAGCACAGUAAGAGCUUGCUCUUACGGGUGGCGAGUGGCGGACGGGUGAGGAAUACAUCGGAAUCUACUUUUUCGUGGGGGAUAACGUAGGGAAACUUACGCUAAUACCGCAUACGACCUACGGGUGAAAGCAGGGGAUCUUCGGACCUUGCGCGAUUGAAUGAGCCGAUGUCGGAUUAGCUAGUUGGCUGGGUAAAGGCCCACCAAGGCGACGAUCCGUAGCUGGUCUGAGAGGAUGAUCAGCCACACUGGAACUGAGACACGGUCCAGACUCCUACGGGAGGCAGCAGUGGGGAAUAUUGGACAAUGGGCGCAAGCCUGAUGCAGCCAUACCGCGUGGGUGAAGAAGGCCUUCGGGUUGUAAAGCCCUUUUGUUGGGAAAGAAAAGCAGCAGGUUAAUACCCCGCUGUUCUGACGGUACCCAAAGAAUAAGCACCGGCUAACUUCGUG